UGGGGAAUCUUAGACAAUGGGGGAAACCCUGAUCUAGCCAUGCCGCGUGAGCGAUGAAGGCCUUAGGGUUGUAAAGCUCUUUCACCGGGGAAGAUAAUGACGGUACCCGGAGAAGAAGCCCCGGCUAACUCCGUGCCAGCAGCCGCGGUAAUACGGAGGGGGCUAGCGUUGUUCGGAAUUACUGGGCGUAAAGCGCGCGUAGGCGGACUUUUAAGUCGGGGGUGAAAUCCCAGGGCUCAACCCUGGAACUGCCUUCGAUACUGGGAGUCUGGAGUUCGAGAGAGGUGAGUGGAAUUCCGAGUGUAGAGGUGAAAUUCGUAGAUAUUCGGAGGAACACCAGUGGCGAAGGCGGCUCACUGGCUCGAUACUGACGCUGAGGUGCGAAAGCGUGGGGAGCAAA
rnacentral:rRNA from 1 species